AGGAAGAGAGGAGGAGCCAGGAGGUGACAAGGGGGCGUUACCCAGGACCCGGGAGCAAGCCCCGCCCACCUCCCCGGCGCGGGGCCGAGCCGCCGCAGUAACCUGGCGCCGUGACCUGCGGCAGCAUUUCUUCUCAAAGCCCACAAACCUGCAAGGCGUCCACCCCCUGCGAAUAGAUGUGUGUGAAGGUCACGCAAGGCGACGAGGUCUGGCCCGGCCUAAGCCUCCACUGGUUUUCACUGGGCUCUGCUGGGCUCGCUUGGCUUCCUCCUGCGCAUGUGCAGGUUCCCAGCCUGUCGGGCCGCGCGGAGAGCCCAUCUCGAUACUUGGGCUCUCCCGUUACAGGAUUUUCUGUAAAAUGUAUGGCUGGUCCGCCGCGUACCCCCAUCAGGAGCACAUUUUCGGGCUUGCAGAAAGAUUGGUCACCAGAUUUGCCCAAAGCGAUAAUCCUCAGAGUUUCUGAAAGUUUUCAAAUUUAUGUCAGUAAGAAUAUUUUGAAAAACCUGAUGAAAAUUACGACCUCUCUCUCUGGGCAAAAGAAAGCACAUCCUCCAACACACAAAAUGUUGUCUGAAUCACAGGGAAAUGACUGCCCCAGACGAAGGAUUCUGGGGAGAAGAAAACAACAAGAAAAGCAACAGUGCGCUCCUGACCCCUGUAGUUCAGAGCCGAUUUUAUCCAGUGGUAGACAAAUUCAAGCAAGCUUCAUGCCUGUUCUCCCAGCUCAGAUCAAGUGGAUGGCCCUGGAAAGAGACAGACUGACCAAAAAUAGGCAACAGCACCAAGAAGACGCCAGAUUCCUCGAAACACGAUCAUUUACCACAAAGGCAAAAAGACAAACACAGUGGCUCGCUGAUGACAUCUCUGUUCGGUGUGGAAUGGCACGAUAACCCUGAGGAGCAGAACGUUUAAGCCGUAUCCAGUGGAGCAUGUUUAGGAAGAUAAAAGGAUGUUUAAUGGAUUUUGGAGAGAUUCUAUCAAAACAUGAACUAUUACAAUGAUGACACGCAAAGAGAUAAGUUGCACAUCUCCCAAAUGAUGUCAACCAAAUGAACGGCUGUCGGCUAUAAUUACCCAAAUUAUAGUGAGAGGAGAGGCCAUGCUUGCCAUGAUUUGGGGGAAUUUCUACCUAUUACAGACCUAUUAUUAAAAAGAAAAUUAUAACAA